rnacentral:rRNA from 1 species
AUUGAACGCUGGCGGCAUGCCUUACACAUGCAAGUCGAACGGCAGCACGGGAGCAAUCCUGGUGGCGAGUGGCGAACGGGUGAGUAAAGUAUCGGAACGUGCCCAGUCGUGGGGGAUAACGUAGCGAAAGUUACGCUAAUACCGCAUACGAUCUAUGGAUGAAAGCGGGGGAUCGCAAGACCUCGCGCGAUUGGAGCGGCCGAUAUCAGAUUAGGUAGUUGGUGGGGUAAAGGCUCACCAAGCCGACGAUCCAUAGCUGGUCUGAGAGGAUGACCAGCCACACUGGGACUGAGACACGGCCCAGACUCCUACGGGAGGCAGCAGUGGGGAAUUUUGGACAAUGGGCGCAAGCCUGAUCCAGCCAUGCCGCGUGCAGGAUGAAGGCCUUCGGGUUGUAAACUGCUUUUGUACGGAACGAAAAGGUUUGACUUAAUACGUUGGACUCAUGACGGUACCGUAAGAAUAAGCACCGGCUAACUACGUGCCAGCCGCCGCGGUAA